CCUUAUAAAAAAGUUCCUCCUCAGCUUUCCUGUAGGCCCCCUUCAGGUCCUGGACUGCUGCAACUGGACUCUUCAAAUGAAACUCUUUGGGACACACUCUGAAAUCAGUAUACGCUGACUUCACAAGUGAGGCUUAUUCCCAUAAGUGAGGGUUGCAAAGUAAAACUCUUGUGGUUUUCCCACAAGCUGUGUUGGCAAUAUGGUAUGUAAGUGUCAGUGGAGACUUAACAUUAUGAAAAAUUAAUGUAUUGAAUGCUGCACAAUCUACACUACCGAGAAACAGAAAAAAAGUGAGCUAGAAGAAGGCUGUGCUGGAAUGUAUUAGUGCCAUCUAGGUUUUUGGCAAGAACUCAAAUAGAGAGCAAUUCAUGGAAUACAUGGAACGUAGCAUUAGCCUUUGCUUGGUUUUCCCAUUAGAGCUGUAGUAGGCCACAUUUGUGAGUGUAGCAUUGCUGAGAAUAGCUUGAAAUGACUCAGUCAAAAAAUAAGACCAUGUAUCUUACUUGGCUUCCACGCUGAAAAUAGGAGCUCAGAGCCUUCUGCAGAACCAGGUGCUCCUGAAUAAACAUUCUGCUGUGUUGAAAUGUUGCAGUGAUUCUCCUCUUAUACAAUGAGAAAUUGUGUGUUUGUCUUAAGGCUCCCCUGGGCACCAUCUUGAAAGCCUCUAAUGAGGGAGGAAAGCAGGACUAGAAGAAGAAAUUCUGAUCUCCUGUAAUGGCCUGGUAGCUUAGCAGCAAAAGGACAGGGCAGAACUACCAUAGCUUGUACCACUGGCUGAAUGAACCUAUUUGUGCCAGAACUGGAGGAAUGCAGGCAGCUUUUUGCUGAGCUGGUACAGCCUUCAGUGUCAACAAGCUAUCAGUCUGUUCAGAAGGUUGAUCCUUCACUUUAAUUUUCGAUUCAUUCAACUCACUCUUUUCUAAGCAAUGUAGGUAUGAAGCAUUACUGCUCUAAAUAAGUGACUGCACUGAGCAGGAAAUCUAGAUCCAACUCCUCACAGUACUUUCUCUGACCAAAUAGUCCUGCUAACUCUGUAAGCAAGACCAAGAAGAUUUAUUUCCAUGUCACUUCUUGGUGUCUACGAGCACUAUAACAAAAUCAUUGCAUGACCAGUAUCCACACAUGAAAUCUGUUCUAAAGAGAUAAGGAAGUCUCUGUGAGCAGCCUGCAUCAGGGACACCAGUUCACCACAGCUAAAUGGGCAGGUAUGUGUGUGACUUGGAGGCAUCCUUCCAGCGUCAGGCUCAGGGGGACCAGCUGGCUCAAUUCAUUAACAGCUGGGGUUCAGAUUACCCAGCCAAGCCAUCCUCCACAUCGCCAGCAUGGAGGAGAUGAUGCAGGAGGCACACUUGAACUGCGUAAGAUCGCCAUGCGGUUCAAGAGUCACCUGCCCGUUGGUGGAGAUUUCAGUCAUUACAUUUAGGUGUCUUUGUAUUAAUGUGCCUUUGAUCUCUCAUCUUCAUGGUGCACCAUUUCUGUUCCCACUGCAGGGCUUUCAGUUCCAUGUGCUGAAUAUGUGACUCAUACAGUUGCCUCUCCCUAGCCCUGCCUGAUUACACUCUUGUGUGAUUUGCUUACCAGCUAGGUCUGAUACAGUACACACAACAGGAAGACAAAGCAACUUAUACUUCCAAGGGACACUCCUGUCUCAGAAGAGUGCUGCUAGAAGGCAUGUUCCCUGGCAAUACCUGUGUAGGCUGUCAUCUUUCUUCUGGAUGUGUUUGUAAUUAAACUGUGCACUGGAGGUUGGGCUGAGAGUAUUCUCUGCAUAGUGGUAGUAAAAUAUCUUGACAUCUGCCCUCUUCGUCAGGAAAUAAGCUGCUGAGCUAGCUUAUUCAUUGAACUGGAAUUUGUUUGGUGCUGGUGGCACAGCUAUGCUGUCACAAGGAGCAGUUCAGUGGUUCUAUGACCUCAAAUGUCAGAUCAGGUCAUUCGUCUCCCACAAGUUCGGACCACUGCAGUAUGGUCAACUCUCAAAAGAGCCUACUUGAACAUGCUGUUGAAAACACAUUUCAUGUCAUUCCGUGGAGGUUGAACCAGUGGCUCAUGGGCCACAGUAAGGAAACUACUGGCCAAAAUAUUUCUUCAGCUGUAAUUAGCUCAAGGAACCUGUAUGGAAGCAGGGAGAGCUUUGACGAGGUCAUCUUUCUAUACGCAUUAAUACCAGGACAUUUCAUUCUGGAACACUGCAAAGUUAGCCUCCUACACUAAUAAUAAGUAUGGGAAAGCUGAAAACAAGAAAUUGGGAUAGGACUACACAGGAACAUGCUUUAUGAUGGGAACACAGGGCAUGGAAAACAACUGACAUCCCUACAUCUCAUCCUUGUCUCUGGCUCCACAAGAGGAGUGUGGACAGAGCACAUCUGCCCAUACAGGGAGAAGGGAGCUGGAACAUAGGGCUGGUAAGUGAGUCUAAUCCUCCCAAGGAAGACUGUCUACUUCACAAAACAUUUACUCCUUCCUCAUAUCUGGGCUACAAAACGUGUUUUCAACAUUCUGUAACAAACAAUGCCAGCAAAAAUAAGACUGAGAGUCAGGAGAAUUUAGGAGAGAUUGGCCAUUCUAUGAUUCUGUGACACUGCAAAGAUCCAAGACAUUUCUGCUGUCAUUUAUGAAAUAAACUUCCAGCAAAGAGCACUUAACUCCAGAUUAAAAAGAAGGAAAUAAAAAUGAUGCCACUUCUUGCAAAAUUGAUCUGAGUGGGAAAUUCCUUGAGGGUGUUGGCUGCUUAUCACCAUCCAUACAGUGUUUGUAGAUCAGAGUUGUGCAGAAUCUCAAGGGUGAACAUCUGCUUUCAGGUUACGUGGCUGUUUUGUAUAGUUUUCCAUCAAAACAUUUACCCUCAGCAUUUCUUCAUGCAGACGGAAGUCUUACGUGCUUUCUUGUAAUCUGCUCUCAUUUUAAUGCUAAAAGAGAUACGUAUCUUUGUAGGCAUGGGGUUUUUUUGUAAGUAUGGUAUGAACAGUGCUUACAGAGAAUGAUACGAAUAGGAUAUGUGAGGUGGGAAUGAAAUUCCACACAAAAACUCUGAAGUUAUAUCAAUUAAAUAUUUCAAAGACCUGUCCAAUGACAAUGUUGUGUGCUAUGUAGACACUUAUCCUGAAAUUCUUAACACACCAGAUAAGAUCUGACACUGGGAGGCCACAGGCUGCCUGGUGGAGCGGGAGCAGUCAGUCAGCAAGAAGCACCAAGUGAUGGGAAAGGCACAUGCAACCAAAUGUCAGGGGAGGUUUUACUUGUAAAAAAAAAAUAAAAAAUCUUUGAACUAUGACAGCCGGCUCAUGGCUGAUUCAGGAACAGUAGCAAAAAGCAGCCUUAACACUGUUUUAACCAACAUCCUGGUGUCAGUUGGCACCACUUACCCUUGUCAUUUGGAUACAAGACACUGUAAUGUAGAAGUAGUUGGCACAUUGUUACGCAGGACCUAGCAAAGAUUAUCCCUGCAACUGUUUCUUUAAGCUCGUUUUUCUCCAAUCUUGCUCACACUCAUCCAUCAGCUGCAUCAAACAGAUGUCUCACGCAGCUGAGACAGCAGUUCUGAAUUCCAGGCCAAGCAGAUGGCAAGUCAUUUUUAAAGGUUUCAUCUGAAAGACCAACAUAAACAUAGAAAACUAUGUGGUGUUCAAUUAAUCAGUCCUUGCAAUGGAAUCAAGUUCAGUUAGCUUCAUUUGUUACACAAGGAGAUACAUUUUCCGUAGUUUUUUAUCCCUAUUGUCAGUCAUGUGCUUGCAUGACUAGCUGUGGAAUCAGAGACAGCUCUAAUGGAAAAGAAAAAUUAGGUCAUCUGGUCCGUCCUCACUGCCAGGGCAUGGCUGUUCCCUGCACUGUAUCACUUCCCACACAGUUAUCUUUCCAACUGUCCUCUGUAAGAUGGAAAUGCAAUUCAGAAUUCCAUUUGGCUGUAACUGCCAGAGCUGCUGAGGACUCCUAUUGGGACAAAAAUGUUACUGAGAAUUGGAGACUUGGAGCUAACAAUUUUAAAUAUGUAUAAAGGAAAAAGAAGGGAAGAAGGCAAGAAGGCAAAGAAAGAAGGAGAGAAACACCAAAUGUCAGAAUAUAUCAGUCUCAAUAUAAUAUAAAAUAUAUUCAUAAAUUAUUUCUGAGGGAAAAAAAAAAGUGCAAUAUUUGAGAUAAUUGGGGUCACUGUUUUCACUCAUCCAGGAAAUAGUUUCCAUGACACAAUUCUACAAAUGAAACAAUGGGUUUCCUGCUAAAGCAACAAGCAACUAGUGCUGUUUGUUAGCUGGUUAGGAAGCAGCCUCCCAUCAGGAGGCUCAGCACUUGCACUGACUGAGGGAUUCAAGGCUGCCUUGACUACUUACUCUAAGGGUUUGAGUCCCCAUCCUUCAGCAAAACAUCUCAGUGUGGCAGCACUGAUUUAUUAAGCAGAAUUGGUUUAUUAAGAAGAAAAAAAAGAAAAAAAAAAAAAAGGAAAAAUAGCUAUAGCAUUUAAUGCAAGGAAAUGGCAAACUAUUUUCCUUUCAACAGCUGUAUCACCAGUAACUUGCAUGAGAAUCCUGUCUCUUAGUCCCUUGACAACACUAAUCAAAUAACUCCAGUGGUUUGACAGCCCAAAUGUUUCCUGACAGGUCGAUCUCCUUUCCUUGUUAGCUUGUUUUUCACCAAUGUAGUUUCACUUAAAGAUUCACUUUCUGAAAUCAGGCAAGGAUUCUCUUAACAUUGCUCAGCUUUGCUAUGGUAUUUCCUUUUGCCAUCAGAUUUCUCUGCUUCCAUGUGCUUAUCUACAUCAGUUCUUGAGUCACGUUUUUAGAUCCUUAUCUUUCUGUGGAGGAUUUUGUUUGCAUGGCACCCUCACAACA